CCUAGGAAAUGCUACAAUGAAAAAUUUAGAGUAUAACAGACUAAAAUUAUAGGAUGGAGUACAAAAAAUUCUCUUGAUCUACACAUAUAUAAUUAUUAGUUACGAGGUAAACGAAGAGGGAUGCUUAAAGCUUUAAUUCCAACAACUACAAAAUGGAGUUCAAGCCACAAAACUAUUGAAAUGAUAAAAAGAGAAUGGAUUAUUUCCUGAAUAGUCGCCAAUGUGCUUGCUCGAGGAAAUGUAAGCAUUGAAUUCUUACUUCCUGUUUUCAUAUUCUCAGGAUUCAAAUUGCAAUUACUAUUACAAAUAUUUAUUUCUUUUACUCUCUCUUGCUUGAUGAAUCAAGUAAUAUGUUAGGUAUAGUGGCAACUAAAAACUAAUGAACAUUCUUCAUAUCCUAACACUUUAAAACAUACAAACUUCAAGUUACUAUUGCAGCAAUAGUGUGCUGCCAAUUUUACCCCCACCCAUAUCUCUUUACUACUCCUUUGCCAUUCUAUCGGAUCGUGCCACGUGUAAUCUCAUCCACCGCCCUUAUUUCGCCACUUCUCCCUCUUCGGUCUUCAGCUCUUCACUGCUUCCCUUCCUCUUUUUCUUUUUUUAGGGUUUCCCUCUCCUCUUCGUCCUCUCGAUCCUGAGCUUCCUGUCCCUCCAUCUCUGAGCUUCCCGUCCCGUCCCUUUCCAGUUUAGUUUUUUUUUUCCUGCGUUUGUUGUCCAUUGCCUUCAAAAUUCCCCAUAGUAAGGUUUCCAAUAACACCUUAGAGGAUUCAAAUGCAAAAUCCAAUUGACAACAAUCGGUUGGGCUUUGGAAUCCUCUAAGGUCUUAUUGGAAGUCUUAGAAUUAUUGGAAUCAUUCUUAUUCAGAUCUGCAAUGAUUGCGAUUCCGGCGAUUUGGGUAAGUCAGUUCGUUUCUUGUACUCGUGCAUCUGGUCUGUUUUCUUUUGGGAUUUUUCUUUUUUUCCGAUUCGAUGGUUCUUUGGGGUUUCUUUGUUUUAAUCUGGAUCGAUAUGUGAUUUUACUGUUCUUGUAUUCAUGGAUAUGCCAUAUGGUUGUUUUUUUCCCCCAAUUUGUUUGUGUGUUUGGGUUUUCGUUGUUGGUGAUCGUAUCAAGUGGAGUCUGUUUGUGUGUAAGGCACUUAUCGAUUGAUUUAAUAAAGAGAUAUGGGUUAAAUUUUAGUGUUCUAAUAUUCCUGAAGUUUGUGUUUCUGUUCUAAUAUUCCUGAAGUUUGUAUUCCCAUUUUAAUAUUCUUGAGAUCUUGAUGCUGUUAUUUAAAUUUUCAUAUUCAUAUUAAUUAUCGGUUUAAAAUAUGAUAUUGGUUCAGCAAUUUUAGUUCCUGCGUUUUUGUGUUCUGGGUUCAACAGCUUCAGUAGAAAUUAAUAUUCAGAUGUUCAUGUGUUCUUGUUCUAAUGUUCCUGAAUUAAUGUCCUUUGUUUCUUAUAUUGUUCUAAAUGGUCCCGAAUUCAUGCGUUUUUCUUAUCAAAGUUCCCCUACAUUUCAUUAGAGUAUUUGUGUUUAUAGAACUAUGAUUAAGAACACAAGGUAUGACAUCCUUAACUUUUGAUGGUUGAUCUCUCAACUACUCAAUUGCAUUGUUUAAUUUGAUGUAAUUGAUUGUUUAUUGUUACUGACUUAGUGACUUUAUAAUUUUUUAUUAGAAAUGAAUUUUACACACCUAAAAGAUCUGGAAUUUGUUUCAAUUGGAUCCAUCAAUCGACUUCUUCUAUGAUCUGGUUUCAUUUAAAUGAUAUUAAAAAUCAUAGGUUUUAGCUGACAUUUUUUGGGUGGAAUUAAUAGAUUACAACACCCAUAUGACAACAUGUGAAGUAUUUCGUAAAAUUAAGAAGCUUUGGGUUGUCUUCGCGUUGUCCUGUGGGUGGCGAAUUAUCAGUAGUGAUUAUCCCUUUCUUUCGGGAAUAUUGAUUGUCACUUCGUUAAAUAUGGUAGACUGGUAGCAUUUGUUAAUUUCAGCUACUCCCUCCAUCCUAACUCCCAAACAAAGGAUGACAAUUUAGAAAUCAGUGUCGUGUGGGAAAUAAGGGCAUCUCUCUUAUGCCACGUGUAAUCUCAUCCACCGCCCUAAUCCAAGGAUGACAUAUCUAUGAUGGUUGAUCUUUUUUUUUUAUCUUAUUCAAGUGAACAUCUUUCCUUCUGGCUAUGUCUUUGAUGGGCCACCACCUGAUUUGAAGAAAAAAGAACUUGCAAAACGUUAUGCCAAACGAGCAGAUGCCACUGAGGAUUUGACGGAGGCAAUUGAGGUAUAUUCAUGCAAAAUCUUACCCCGUCAAAUAAAAAUGUCUCAAAAAAAAGAAGUGCAGCAAAUUGCCUAUAUUAUUCCUGCCCAGCUUGUACAUUGCUUCUCUAACCAAAAUAGGAUGCUUUAAUAUCUGCUGCAGAAAGGUGAUAAAGUAUUGAGAAGUUCAUUAAACUAACCGUGUAGGUGAGUCUCUUUUAUUGUUUGAAGAUGAGCUCUGAAAAGCUGCAUAUAUAUUUUUGUAGAAGGGAUCAAAUUGCAUGUCUUUUUUGUUUAUUUUUAAAGGAAGUUAUAAAUAAAUCAACAAUGUUUGGAUCAUGUUCUUUUUUGGUUUUUGGUGGUUCAGUAAGCUGCCAAAAUUUCAUUGUGUCAAGACUUUUCCCAGGAUUACUGGAAAAUACAUAGACAGUAAUCUGAAGUGUUUAACAAGGUUUUGCCCCAUGUUAGCUGGUUUUGUUUGUUUCCGUCUCCUCAACUGUACGAAUUUUAAAUGUCUGGAUUAGAUAAUUGAAAUCAUAUGAGGUGUCAUUUUGACUUUAAUAUUUGUUUGUUUUAAUAUUGAUGUGAUCCUUCAUGUCGGCCUUCGGUAGAAAAUAAAGAUUUCGAGCAACUGAUCAACCAGAACAAGUCAUAAGAUUAAGACAUAUCUGCCAUGCCUUACUGACAAUUCAUAGUUAUUAACUUAUUACGAAGUAUAUCAUAAGAAUUGACUCUAAACUGUAGUUUCAUACUCACUCUACUGGCUGGAGUGCUUGAAUAGCUUUUUACAUCCAAUUAUUUUUCAUCUCGCUUCAUCUUUCUCUAAACAUUACUAUCUUAUUGCCACAUUUUUCAUCAAUUUGCAUUGCUUGUUAGUUUAUCAAGUGUUGCAGAUAAUUGUCAUCUACACAUAUCACAUUUGUUAGGAUUUGCAAUCAACCUCCGUAUUUGGAAUCUUACUGAAGUGGGGUGAAUAAUUAAGUCCAAAGCAUCCAGACGUUGGCAAUGCAGACCAAGAAGAGACUUUCUUCCAAAAGUUAGAGCCUUCUAGCUCUAUAAAACUGAGAUCUCAAAAGAAGGUAUCUGAAAAUGUUCCAGUUGCCGAGAUCGAAUUAGGCUGCAGUCUCAACAAUCAGCUUGGUCUUGUGAAUUGGAUGCAGUGGUUACAGAAGAGAGGGGUUCAUAUGCUGAUCCUCAACAUUCCUAUUUUUAUGAGGAAAAAGAUUCAUGGCAAACUCCAGAUUUCGACGUUUCGUCAACCAUUUUUUUCAGCUUCCUUAUUACUGGAAAACUUAUGUGAAUGAAGUAGAUCAAGAGAGAUAAAUGUGGUAAACUCCUUCUAUAAAGCACCAUUAAGACUCCCAAUGCCAGCAGAGCUUUAAUACUGGUGGGAAAGAGGUAUUUCUUCCAUCUUUUAUUCCAACAAAUUAUCAAAUUUUUCUUUUCUUAAGGAAUUGGACUGACUUUUGAUGUUAAAAGAGUUAAAGACCUUGAAAAUUGACCAAAGAAUUAACCAUGAUCUGAGCAUUUGUUGUGUGGUAAAGCAUAAAAGCUCUAGGCCCCUUUUCCAUUUUUUUACUCGUACUUGAUUUGACUUGAUUAUUAUUGACUUGAUUUGACUUGAUUAUUUUUUACUUAUUCCUUAAAAAUGCCUGUUAUGAGCUAUAGUUGAUUAUAAUGCCUAUUGUUCUGUAUUUUAUCAUUUUAUCAUUGAAAGGUAAUGACCGCACUGCUCUUUUUUUCUUCUCUGUUCUUUUAAAAUUUAUAAUAGUACGAUUUAGUUAUUGGGAACUCCCUUCUGACCUUCUGGGAGUCUUGAUGUGACUGCAUCUUUUUGGUUGUGUACUCCCUCCGUCCCGGAAUACUCGACCCGGUUUGACCGGCACAGAGUUUAAGGGACUUGAAUUGGCUUAUUUAAUUUAAUAGGUAGUAGUUGAUAGUGGGGUAUUAUUUUAAUGUAGUUAGUGGGAA